rnacentral:rRNA from 1 species
GGGUUGUGAGGUUAAGCGACUAAGCGUACACGGUGGAUGCCCUGGCAGUCAGAGGCGAUGAAGGACGUGCUAAUCUGCGAUAAGCGUCGGUAAGGUGAUAUGAACCGUUAUAACCGGCGAUUUCCGAAUGGGGAAACCCAGUGUGAUUCGUCACACUAUCAUUAACUGAAUCCAUAGGUUAAUGAGGCGAACCGGGGGAACUGAAACAUCUAAGUACCCCGAGGAAAAGAAAUCAACCGAGAUUCCCCCAGUAGCGGCGAGCGAACGGGGAGGAGCCCAGAGCCUGAAUCAGUGUGUGUGUUAGUGGAAGCGUCUGGAAAGGCGCGCGAUACAGGGUGACAGCCCCGUACACAAAAAUGCACAUGCUGUGAGCUCGAUGAGUAGGGCGGGACACGUGGUAUCCUGUCUGAAUAUGGGGGGACCAUCCUCCAAGGCUAAAUACUCCUGACUGACCGAUAGUGAACCAGUACCGUGAGGGAAAGGCGAAAAGAACCCCGGCGAGGGGAGUGAAAAAGAACCUGAAACCGUGUACGUACAAGCAGUGGGAGCCUCUUUAUGGGGUGACUGCGUACCUUUUGUAUAAUGGGUCAGCGACUUAUAUUCUGUAGCAAGGUUAACCGAAUAGGGGAGCCGAAGGGAAACCGAGUCUUAACUGGGCGUUAAGUUGCAGGGUAUAGACCCGAAACCCGGUGAUCUAGCCAUGGGCAGGUUGAAGGUUGGGUAACACUAACUGGAGGACCGAACCGACUAAUGUUGAAAAAUUAGCGGAUGACUUGUGGCUGGGGGUGAAAGGCCAAUCAAACCGGGAGAUAGCUGGUUCUCCCCGAAAGCUAUUUAGGUAGCGCCUCGUGAACUCAUCUCCGGGGGUAGAGCACUGUUUCGGCAAGGGGGUCAUCCCGACUUACCAACCCGAUGCAAACUGCGAAUACCGGAGAAUGUUAUCACGGGAGACACACGGCGGGUGCUAACGUCCGUCGUGAAGAGGGAAACAACCCAGACCGCCAGCUAAGGUCCCAAAGUCAUGGUUAAGUGGGAAACGAUGUGGGAAGGCCCAGACAGCCAGGAUGUUGGCUUAGAAGCAGCCAUCAUUUAAAGAAAGCGUAAUAGCUCACUGGUCGAGUCGGCCUGCGCGGAAGAUGUAACGGGGCUAAACCAUGCACCGAAGCUGCGGCAGCGACGCUUAUGCGUUGUUGGGUAGGGGAGCGUUCUGUAAGCCUGUGAAGGUGUGCUGUGAGGCAUGCUGGAGGUAUCAGAAGUGCGAAUGCUGACAUAAGUAACGAUAAAGCGGGUGAAAAGCCCGCUCGCCGGAAGACCAAGGGUUCCUGUCCAACGUUAAUCGGGGCAGGGUGAGUCGACCCCUAAGGCGAGGCCGAAAGGCGUAGUCGAUGGGAAACAGGUUAAUAUUCCUGUACUUGGUGUUACUGCGAAGGGGGGACGGAGAAGGCUAUGUUGGCCGGGCGACGGUUGUCCCGGUUUAAGCGUGUAGGCUGGUUUUCCAGGCAAAUCCGGAAAAUCAAGGCUGAGGCGUGAUGACGAGGCACUACGGUGCUGAAGCAACAAAUGCCCUGCUUCCAGGAAAAGCCUCUAAGCAUCAGGUAACAUCAAAUCGUACCCCAAACCGACACAGGUGGUCAGGUAGAGAAUACCAAGGCGCUUGAGAGAACUCGGGUGAAGGAACUAGGCAAAAUGGUGCCGUAACUUCGGGAGAAGGCACGCUGAUAUGUAGGUGAAGUCCCUCGCGGAUGGAGCUGAAAUCAGUCGAAGAUACCAGCUGGCUGCAACUGUUUAUUAAAAACACAGCACUGUGCAAACACGAAAGUGGACGUAUACGGUGUGACGCCUGCCCGGUGCCGGAAGGUUAAUUGAUGGGGUCAGCGCAAGCGAAGCUCUUGAUCGAAGCCCCGGUAAACGGCGGCCGUAACUAUAACGGUCCUAAGGUAGCGAAAUUCCUUGUCGGGUAAGUUCCGACCUGCACGAAUGGCGUAAUGAUGGCCAGGCUGUCUCCACCCGAGACUCAGUGAAAUUGAACUCGCUGUGAAGAUGCAGUGUACCCGCGGCAAGACGGAAAGACCCCGUGAACCUUUACUAUAGCUUGACACUGAACAUUGAGCCUUGAUGUGUAGGAUAGGUGGGAGGCUUAGAAGUGUGGACGCCAGUCUGCAUGGAGCCGACCUUGAAAUACCACCCUUUAAUGUUUGAUGUUCUAACGUUGACCCGUGAUCCGGGUUGCGGACAGUGUCUGGUGGGUAGUUUGACUGGGGCGGUCUCCUCCUAAAGAGUAACGGAGGAGCACGAAGGUUGGCUAAUCCUGGUCGGACAUCAGGAGGUUAGUGCAAUGGCAUAAGCCAGCUUGACUGCGAGCGUGACGGCGCGAGCAGGUGCGAAAGCAGGUCAUAGUGAUCCGGUGGUUCUGAAUGGAAGGGCCAUCGCUCAACGGAUAAAAGGUACUCCGGGGAUAACAGGCUGAUACCGCCCAAGAGUUCAUAUCGACGGCGGUGUUUGGCACCUCGAUGUCGGCUCAUCACAUCCUGGGGCUGAAGUAGGUCCCAAGGGUAUGGCUGUUCGCCAUUUAAAGUGGUACGCGAGCUGGGUUUAGAACGUCGUGAGACAGUUCGGUCCCUAUCUGCCGUGGGCGCUGGAGAACUGAGGGGGGCUGCUCCUAGUACGAGAGGACCGGAGUGGACGCAUCACUGGUGUUCGGGUUGUCAUGCCAAUGGCACUGCCCGGUAGCUAAAUGCGGAAGAGAUAAGUGCUGAAAGCAUCUAAGCACGAAACUUGCCCCGAGAUGAGUUCUCCCUGACCCUUUAAGGGUCCUGAAGGAACGUUGAAGACGACGACGUUGAUAGGCCGGGUGUGUAAGCGCAGCGAUGCGUUGAGCUAACCGGUACUAAUGAACCGUGAGGCUUAACCUUACAACGCCGAAGCUGUU